GAUGAACGCUGGCGGCGUGCCUAAUACAUGCAAGUCGAACGGUAGCACAAAGGAGCUUGCUCCUUGGGUGACGAGUGGCGGACGGGUGAGUAAUGUCUGGGAAACUGCCUGAUGGAGGGGGAUAACUACUGGAAACGGUAGCUAAUACCGCAUAACGUCGCAAGACCAAAGAGGGGGACCUUCGGGCCUCUUGCCAUCAGAUGUGCCCAGAUGGGAUUAGCUAGUAGGUGGGGUAAUGGCUCACCUAGGCGACGAUCCCUAGCUGGUCUGAGAGGAUGACCAGCCACACUGGAACUGAGACACGGUCCAGACUCCUACGGGAGGCAGCAGUGGGGAAUAUUGCACAAUGGGCGCAAGCCUGAUGCAGCCAUGCCGCGUGUAUGAAGAAGGCCUUCGGGUUGUAAAGUACUUUCAGCGGGGAGGAAGGUGAUACGGUUAAUAACCGUGUCAAUUGACGUUACCCGCAGAAGAAGCACCGGCUAACUCCGUGCCAGCCGCCGCCGUAA
rnacentral:rRNA from 1 species